rnacentral:tmRNA from 1 species
CAUUAAAAACGCAUAAAACGGACAAACACCAGAUAACAAUAAUGCAUUGUUUUCAAACAUAAAUUAUUGUUUUAAACAUAGUGAAAAUGGUAUGUAGGAAUUUCGGACGCGGGUUCAACUCCCGCCAGCUCCACCA